GUUCUCCAGCAGCAUCGCCAUUGCUGACUGACUGAUAGAGAUAGAGAUAGAGAUACAGAUAGAGAGAGACUUUAUGCUCUGAACAAAAUUGGGGUUUUAAUUUGAGGAAGGGAGAUCCAGGACUAGAGAGCUAGAUUCCAGAGCAGGAAUGAAAGGCAAGAUUCAUGGCAUAGGUGUGGGAGUCCGGGACUAUGCAGAAUGGAGGAGUGAUUUGCCUCAAUAGUGCUCCGUUCCAUGACUGUCCUUUUUUUGGCACGCAUAUGAAUAUAAAUAUACAUAUUUAUAAUAUAUAAUUAAAUUAAAAUAAAAUAAAACCUUUAUUUGGUUUUA